rnacentral:rRNA from 1 species
GUUGAUUGUCUUGUUUGUUUUAUGGGUGUUAUUUGUUAAUUUGUUGAAGAAUCAUUUUAGUUGUUGUAUGUUUUUGAUUGAAUUUUUAUACGAUAGUUUAUUUGUACUGUGAGGGGUUAAAUUUGUUUAAUGUUUUUUUGGAAGUAGAUUUUGUUUGUCGUACCUUGUGUAUCAGGGUUCAUUGAAUUUUAUUAUUUAUUUUUAUUUCCCGAUUUAGAAGGAGUUAAUGAUUUGUAUUAUUUGCUGUUUUACUAGCAUUAAUAACAUAUUGUUGGUAGUGAAAUGUUAUUCGUCUUUUAUGGUUUCUGGUUUUCCAAGAAAUGAAUUUAAUUCAUGUAUUUUAUUUAAUUUUUGUUGUUGAUUCAUAUUUAUUUUUAUUUUGUGCUAAGAUUAGGGGGGAUUAGCUCUCUAUUUUAUUAUUAUAAUUUAUUUUGUUUAUUUAGUUUUGUGGAUUUUAUAUUGAUUUUCAAUUUGAUUAUGUUAAAAUUUUAUUUGUUCUUUUUUUUAUUUAUAUUUAUUUAAUUUAUUUAUUGGGAUGUUUGCUAGUUCUUGUUUUGUAUAGUGAUUAUUGUGUAAUUAGUAAAUCUUUUUUUUUGUGUUGUUAAGUUUAUUUUUGAUGUUAAUUUCUUUUUAGGAAUUCGGCAAAGUUUUAUGCCCGCCUGUUUAACAAAAACAUCUUUUCUUGGUAGUUUUUGAAGUAUGGCCUGCCCACUGACUUAUUUGUUGAAGGGCCGCGGUAUUUUGACCGUGCAAAGGUAGCAUAAUCAUUAGUUCUUUAAUUGUGAUCUGGUAUGAAUGGCUUGACGAGGUGUAAGCUGUCUUAAUGGUAUUGUCGUUGAAUUUAGUUUUUGAGUAAAAAUUCUUAGAUGUUUUUAUGGGACGAGAAGACCCUAUAGAGUUUUACAUUUAGUUCUUAUAUUUAUUUUUUGUUUGUUUUUAUUUUAUGGUAGGUUAAAUGUUUUGUUGGGGUGAUGGGAAGAAUUUUUUUAACUCUUCUUUGUUUUUAUAUACUUAUUUGUAUUUUUUUGAUCCAUUUAUUUUGAUUAUAAGAUUAAAUUACCUUAGGGAUAACAGCGUUAUCUUCCUUGAGAGUUCUUAUUGGCAGGGAGGUUUGCGACCUCGAUGUUGGAUUAAGGUGAAUUUUAGGUGCAGAAGCUUAAACGGAUUAGGUCUGUUCGACCUUUAAAACCUUACAUGAUCUGAGUUCAGACCGGCGUGAGCCAGGUUGGUUUCUAUCUAUAAGUUUUUAUUAUGCCUUAGUACGAGAGGACCGGGUAUUUGAAAUAAUUUUAUUGUUAUUUGAUUUUUAUUAAUAUGUUUACUAUUUUGGCAGAUAAGUGCAUUGGAUUUAGAAUCUAUGAAUG